rnacentral:RNase_P_RNA from 1 species
UUACGCAAACGCUGCUGAUUUUAAUCAGUAGAGGAAAGUCCACGCUCACACGGCUCUGUGAUCGACCGUAGUGUUCAUGCGAAGGGAAAAAAUAACCUUCGGUAGGUAAAACCUAACGGCGCCGAAGUAACCUACAGUCUUUUUGAUAUGGUUAUGUUAGGCAUAAAGUGCCAUAGUGACGAUUUUUUUUGGAAACGAAAAAAGUGGAACGGGUAAACCCCAUGAGUGAGAAACCCAAAUUUGGUAGGGGAACUUUUGGAAAGGAAACGAACGGACCAAAAGAUGCAUAAGUUGCAUAGAUAAAUGUUUGCGAACCAAAUUUUUUGGUACAGAACGUGGCUUAUU